GUAAAAACAAUGACGGAAAGUAGUAACAACUGAUCCCUUUUCUUAGAGAGCCGGUGGGUGGUGUAAAUCGGCAAAAGGAUGUUGUGAAUCCAUUCCUGAGUGAAGAGCCGAAUGUACAAGUAAGCUCUUCCGGUCGACGCCGUUAGGUCAUGAGCGGAAGAUGCUUUUUAUCUUCAAUCAGGGUGGUAACGCGGGCAUCAACUCUCGUCCCUUUU
rnacentral:ncRNA from 1 species